AAUAGAUACCCGGGUAGUCCACGCCGUAAACGAUGAGUGCUAAGUGUUAGAGGGUUUCCGCCCUUUAGUGCUGCAGCUAACGCAUUAAGCACUCCGCCUGGGGAGUACGGCCGCAAGGCUGAAACUCAAAGGAAUUGACGGGGGCCCGCACAAGCGGUGGAGCAUGUGGUUUAAUUCGAAGCAACGCGAAGAACCUUACCAGGUCUUGACAUCCUCUGACCUCCCUGGAGACAGGGCCUUCCCCUUCGGGGGACAGAGUGACAGGUGGUGCAUGGUUGUCGUCAGCUCGUGUCGUGAGAUGUUGGGUUAAGUCCCGCAACGAGCGCAACCCUUGACCUUAGUUGCCAGCAUUGAGUUGGGCACUCUAAGGUGACUGCCGGUGACAAACCGGAGGAAGGUGGGGAUGACGUCAAAUCAUCAUGCCCCUUAUGACCUGGGCUACACACGUGCUACAAUGGAUGGUACAAAGGGCUGCGAGACCGCGAGGUUAAGCCAAUCCCAGAAAACCAUUCCCAGUUCGGAUUGCAGGCUGCAACCCG
rnacentral:rRNA from 1 species